rnacentral:rRNA from 1 species
GACAGAGGGUGCAAACGUUGUUCGGAAUUACUGGGCGUAAAGCGCGUGUAGGCGGCUGCGCAAGUCGGAUGUGAAAUCCCAUGGCUCAACCAUGGAAGUGCACCCGAAACUGCGUAGCUAGAGUCUCGGAGAGGAAGGCGGAAUGCUUGGUGUAGAGGUGAAAUUCGUAGAUAUCAAGCGGAACACCGGUGGCGAAGGCGGCCUUCUGGACGAUGACUGACGCUCAUGCACGAAAGCGUGGGGAGCAAACAGG